ACCGCGUAUCGGCGGAUAAAACCGGCGGCGGAAAUUUGUAGGAAGAAGUGGGGUUUGUGUGUGGCCCAGUGGGGAAUUCCCGAGGGGUGUCGACGCUUGAUGGAAACCCCCGCGCGGGCUGCCCUUGAGGCGCCUGAAUCAUGGUGGGUCCACCAAACUAUUGCCUUCUUGUGGGGCCUGAUUUCAGCAUGACUGCGCUCUCUGCCAUCUCUGCCUCAGUUCCAUAUAGCCUGAACGAGGUGAGGACCUCUUUGAAGCUUUCUGAUCUCCCCACCUUCCAGAGUCAGAACUGAAGAACUGAUCAACAAGAUUCUGGUUGCUUUUAAUUUCUAUUUUGUGGACCAAAUGCUUCUUCAGCUGUACAACCAUGAUACCUAAUUGACCUGUGCAAGAUCAAACUGCCUCUUUGCUCCUGUGGGAUGGAUGGAUCUUGGGCAGCUGGUCCUUGCUGGUGCCUAUUUGGCUUGCUCCUGCCCUAGGACCUUUGUGUUAGCUGGGUCCUCUGCCUGGAAUGCCCUUGCUCAGAUCUCCACGUGGGUGGCUCUGAUCAACAGUCUCAGUUCCAAGUUCACCUUCUCAGAGAGGCCUUUCUGAACCAUGAUAUCUAAGGCACACUCCAACCUCAAAGCUCUGCUUUUCCCUCUGGCUGGAGCACCUUUCCCCCAAGAGCUGCAUGGCCACUCCUACAACUCCUCUGGGUCUUUGCUCACAAGUCUCCUUCCUGGUGAGUCUUCCCUA